rnacentral:rRNA from 1 species
CCCGAAAGAUCGAAUGAGGAGAUUCAUCGUCAGCGUGGUUAGUUUCCAUGCGUUUAGUGAUGAAGAUGGAAUUUAUUUCAAAUUCACACAUUCGCUGUGGUAUAUCUGAUUACGUCGGCGUGCACUUCUCCUCUAGUAGAACGUUGCGACCCGCUGGGUGUUGGCUUAAGGACUGAGAUGUUGACUGUUUUCGUUCGUUUACGCGUUCUGUUGACAGACUCUCGGAUUUCUGGCUGACUGCUCGGCGGUAUACACAAGGUAUUGAGCCGCACUUUGAAUGCGUUCAGACUCGUUUACAAGCUAAUCAUAAAUAACUUAAGGGUGCGGACCUAGUGCCGUCCUUAAGGAUGGUUGGCUGUUGGUGAAUGAUGUUCUCGAACUGGCUUAAAUUGAAUACACAAUACCGGUCAGCGACGCUAUUGCUUUGGGUACUCUCAGGA